rnacentral:rRNA from 1 species
ACGAGUGGCGGACGGGUGAGUAAUGCGUAGGAAUCUACCUAAUUGUGCGGGAUAGCCUAGGGAAACUUAGGGUAAUACCGCAUAAGCCCUACGGGGGAAAGGCAGGGGACUGUUAAAGGCCUUGCGCGAUUAGAUGAGCUUACGUCGGAUUAGCUAGUUGGUGGGGUAAAGGCCUACCAAGGCGAUGAUCCGUAGCUGGUCUGAGAGGACGACCAGCCACACUGGGACUGAGACACGGCCCAG